UACGUAGGGACCAAGCGUUGUUCGGAUUUACUGGGCGUAAAGGGCGCGUAGGCGGCGCGGUAAGUCACUUGUGAAAUCUCUGAGCUUAACUCAGAACGGCCAAGUGAUACUGCAGUGCUAGAGUGUGGAAGGGGCAAUCGGAAUUCUUGGUGUAGCGGUGAAAUGCGUAGAUAUCUGGAGGAACACCGGUGGCGAAGGCGGCAUCCUGGACCACACUGACACUGAUGAGCGAAAGCCAGGGGAGCAAACGGGAUAGAAAGCCCGG
rnacentral:rRNA from 1 species